AGAGGGGGCAAGCGUUGCUCGGAAUUACUGGGCGUAAAGGGCGCGUAGGCGGGAUGGCAAGUCGGUCGUGAAAUCCCUCGGCUCAACUGAGGAUCGUCGAUCGAUACUGCCGUUCUUGAGGAUUGCAGAGGAGACUGGAAUUCCCGGUGUAGCGGUGAAAUGUGUAGAGAUCGGGAGGAACACCGGUGGCGAAGGCGGGUCUCUGGGCAAUUCCUGACGCUGAGGCGCGAAAGCGUGGGGAGCAAACGGGAUUAGAUACCCCGGUAGUCCACGCUGUAAACGAUGACGACUAGGUGUGGGGGGGUUCAGUCCCUUCCGUGCCGCAGCUAACGCAUUAAGUCGUCCGCCUGGGGAGUACGGCCGCAAGGUUG
rnacentral:rRNA from 1 species